GACGUCGUGCCCGAGUGGUUAAGGGGAGUGAUUAGAAUGAGCAUCUGCCCAAUCAUCACUUACGUUCUGCGUGCGCAAGUUCGAGUCUUGUCGACGUCG
rnacentral:tRNA from 1 species